rnacentral:rRNA from 1 species
UACGGAGGGGACUAGCGUUGUUCGGAAUUACUGGGCGUAAAGCGCACGUAGGCGGAUUGUUUAGUCAGGGGUGAAAUCCCGAGGCUCAACCUCGGAACUGCCUUCGAUACUGGAGAGCUCGAGUCCGGGAGAGGUGAGUGGAACUGCGAGUGUAGAGGUGAAAUUCGUAGAUAUUCGCAAGAACACCAGUGGCGAAGGCGGCUCACUGGCCCGGUACUGACGCUGAGGUGCGAAAGCGUGGGGAGCAAACAGG